rnacentral:rRNA from 1 species
AUGAUUCCAGGACCUGGAAUCAUACCAGCCGAUGGGUGGUGGUUUAUCGCUCGUUCAGCUGACGGUGGCCAUUUGAUGCUCAUUUGCACGCUUCAAUCGAAGAAGGAUUGGCCGGUGCUGCCGGCUGGCGUCAAGUUCGAUCCCACGGAUCAGGAGCUGAUCGAUCACCUUGAGGCCAAAGUGAGUGCUGACAGCGCGAGAUCUCACCCUCUCAUCGAUUUGUUCAUACCAACCAUCGACAGCGAGCACGGUAUAUGCUACACCCAUCCUGAGAAACUUCCAGGUAUCACACUGAGUGGCCUAAGCAAGCAUUUCUUCCAGCGCAAUUCCAGGGCGUUCAAAAGGGGCAUGUGGACACAUCACAAGAUACAGUCGGAGUGCGGCAUGCACGCGAUGUGGCACAACACCGGCAAUACCUUGCCGGUGAUGGUCAACGGCCGACAGACGGGCAGCAAAAAGGUUCUGGUGCUGCACACCAACAAGAACUUCGACCAGCAGAGGACCAACUAG